rnacentral:rRNA from 1 species
UGCGGAGGGAUCAUUACUGAGUUUACGCUCUAUAACCCUUUGUGAACAUACCUAUAACUGUUGCUUCGGCGGGUAGGGUCUCCGUGACCCUCCCGGCCUCCCGCCCCCGGGCGGGUCGGCGCCCGCCGGAGGAUAACCAAACUCUGAUUUAACGACGUUUCUUCUGAGUGGUACAAGCAAAUAAUCAAAACUUUUAACAACGGAUCUCUUGGUUCUGGCAUCGAUGAAGAACGCAGCGAAAUGCGAUAAGUAAUGUGAAUUGCAGAAUUCAGUGAAUCAUCGAAUCUUUGAACGCACAUUGCGCCCGCCAGCAUUCUGGCGGGCAUGCCUGUUCGAGCGUCAUUUCAACCCUCAAGCUCUGCUUGGUGUUGGGGCCCUACAGCUGAUGUAGGCCCUCAAAGGUAGUGGCGGACCCUCCCGGAGCCUCCUUUGCGUAGUAACUUUACGUCUCGCACUGGGAUCCGGAGGGACUCUUGCCGUAAAACCCCCAAUUUUCCUAAAGGUUGACCUCGGAUCAGGUAGGAAUACCCGCUGAACUUAAGCAUAUC